CGUGUAGGCGGGUUUGUAAGUCAGGGGUGAAAUCUCCCAGCUUAACUGGGAAACUGCCCUUGAUACUGCGAAUCUUGAGUUCGGAAGAGAGAGGCGGAAUUCCAGGUGUAGUGGUGAAAUACGUAGAUAUCUGGAAGAACACCAGAAGCGAAGGCGGUCUCUUGGCCCGAUACUGACGCUGAGACGCGAAAGCGUGGGGAGCAAACA
rnacentral:rRNA from 1 species